rnacentral:rRNA from 1 species
UACGGAGGAUCCGAGCGUUAUCCGGAUUUAUUGGGUUUAAAGGGUGCGCAGGCGGGAGAUUAAGUCGGCGGUGAAAUUUUGCAGCUCAACUGUAAAAGUGCCUUCGAUACUGGUUUCCUUGAGUGUGGAUGAAGUAGGCGGAAUUUGUGGUGUAGCGGUGAAAUGCUUAGAUAUCACGAGGAACUCCGAUUGCGCAGGCAGCUUACUAAACCACUACUGACGCUCAGGCACGAAGGCGUGGGGAUCAAACAGGAUUAGAUACCCCUGUAGU